UGGGUCAGUGAUGACCACUGAUGUGAUAGAUGAUCCAUGGGUCAUGACUGCAGUUCUGGGAAUCUGAGGCCCAC